rnacentral:rRNA from 2 species
AAAUUGAAGAGUUUGAUCAUGGCUCAGAUUGAACGCUGGCGGCAGGCCUAACACAUGCAAGUCGAACGGUAACAGGAAGAAGCUUGCUUCUUUGCUGACGAGUGGCGGACGGGUGAGUAAUGUCUGGGAAACUACCUGAUGGAGGGGGAUAACUACUGGAAACGGUAGCUAAUACCGCAUAACGUCGCAAGACCAAAGAGGGGGA